UACGUAGGGGGCUAGCGUUAUCCGGAAUUACUGGGCGUAAAGGGUGCGUAGGUGGUUUCUUAAGUCAGAGGUGAAAGGCUACGGCUCAACCGUAGUAAGCUUUUGGAACUGUAAGACUUGAGUGCAGGAGAGGAGAGUGGAAUUCCUAGUGUAGCGGUGAAAUGCGUGGAUAUUAGGAGGAACACCAGUAGCGAAGGCGGCUCUCUGGACUGUAACUGACGCUGAGGCACGAAAGCGUGGGGAGCAAACAGGAUUAGAUACCCCCGUAGUCCCUGAG
rnacentral:rRNA from 1 species